GGUAUAGUAUUGGUGGCCUCACAAGUUGGAAAAGAAAAUCAUUUAAGAAGUCUCUUUCUUGACCUCUCUCACACGCCACACACUCUCACACAACACAACACAAAAGCCUGUUCCAUUUCCAAUCUCCAUAUUUGGUUUUGGUCAAGUAAAACCAAACCAAAACCUCUUACCCUAUAUACCUGCUUUGAUUCUGUGAAUCUGCAAAAACAGUAUUCUCAUGCCUACAUACACCUCAUAACCAUAUAUAAUCACCAAUCUAACAAGAUCUGAUUACGUGUAUUGCAUGUCUCUUUCUUGAGCUGAGUGAACAACACAUCAUAACUCAUCAAGAGACACAGUUACAGAUGAAGAGAGAGAAAGUGUGUUUUUCUCUGUGUGUCCAAAAAAACAAAAGGAUUUGGUUGGAAUUUGUGUCUGUCUUGCUUAUUUUCUUUACUUUUCACUAUACUUUUUUUUUAAAACAACUCAUUUCUGAACAUAUAUAUACUGUUUUUCUCUCCUUCUUUUGGCUAUUAUGUGUUCAUAUAUGAUGCUUUAUUUUAUUCCAUUAACAGGUAUGUUUCUUUUCCUCAGAUCUGAUUCAGUUACGGUAUUUUUCACUUUAUUCUUGUUUUAAGUUUCCAUAUCUAGUGUGUUUUCUGUUGUAUUAUGUACUUGUUUUGGUAUAAUUAUCUUAAUAUGGUAGAUAGAAAUUGACAGAAGAGAGUGAGCACAAAGAAGCAUUUGGUAUAUAAUGUCUAUAUUAUUGCUUUUAUGUUCUCAUGCUCUUCUGUCACUUUCCAGUGCUGGAAAGGAAAUUUCUCUACUUCUUCUGUUAUUCACUUCUAAAUUAACCUAAACUAAACCAAACUAAAUCUACUAAAUAUCACUAACUAAAGAAGGUUAUUAUCUAGGUCGAAGUAGCCAUGAUUACUGUGCAGAUCUUAAAGAGAAGCUUGCAUUUUUUCCUUUAUAUUUUGUCCUUUCUCUUUUUCUUUGGUACAAUUUUCUGUCCUCUAUCUAUAUAUUAUCAUUAUUAUAUGUAGAGAUGAUAGGAUGGUCCUCGCACAAUUUGUGCUAACUAAUAUCUUUGUUUGAUAUGGUGCCUCAUGCUACCAAUGUUUUACUUGGCAUGUGCCUCUUGUUGGCUUUUCUAGUUAUUAUGAUUACCUUAAAUUGUGGCUUAACUAGUAAGAUUAUGAUUUUUUUAUUGGGUAUCAUGACAUGAUUUGUGGAUAACCCUAAAUUAAUCCUUGUACACUUAUAUUAAUCUAUUUUUUUUCUUACUUGUUAAUAUAUCACGUUUGUUUGUUUGUUUGUCUUUAGUCAUUUUAAGAGCUUUCUUUAAACAAUGUUAUCUCAAUUCUUUGUAUUUUUGAGAGCAUGAGUUAGUCGAUAAUUUCUUCCACGUUCUGCAAGAAUUAAUCUUCUCGCGGUAGAAGAAUGGUAAAGUUGAAGUUUACUUAGUUAAUUUGGCCUACAAUUCUCUUCUUGAGGUUAAGCUUGGUCCCUUUCUACCUUUGAGUAGAGUGGAUUGGAUUUUGGCUCACAUCUAGGUUAGUUGGACUCUAUCGUUUGUUUGUUUUUUUACAACUUUUUCUCGAUAAUUUCCCUUGGAGAGAAAAUUUGUGAAAGCGUGGGUCCUCUUGGACUAGGCUAGAGUGUCUUGUUAUUUUUGUUGGGAAUAUGUUUGAGAUUGCUUCUCUUGUUUUGUCACUUGUGAGCUAGUAUCUCUUUUUGUGGUAUAUGAUAGUUAUGUGUCUAAGAUGGUCUAAGGAUAUAUUGUCUCUUUUUGAGGUAUUCUUUAGCUUAGUAGGAUGGUCUAAGAUUAGAGGGGGUUUAGUGAUGGUAUGACAUUACGUGGUGAUUUGGAUUAUCUUAAAGUCUAGAAAUGAUUUAGUCUCUUUUAAUAUUUUAGUUAAUGUGAGGACUUGGCAAACACAAGCAUAGUUUUAGUCUAGAAAUAGGUUAUUGAGAAGUCUAUGAACUAUUCUUGACCUUUGUCUAAUGGAUUGUAGAACCAUAUCCUCUAUCCGACUCAAUAGUGCUCUCCGGCGUCUUUGACCUUGCUUGAAUUUGAGUUCCUUUCCCAUUUCUUUGAGAGGAUUAUUUUCUUAUUGAUGCUGAUCUUUAAUCAAGGACUCUAGCUGAUGUAUUCUCCGUGGUAGAGACUUAUUCUUUGGGGGCUUUUCCUUUCUUUUAGGUGGUUAUUUCGAUCGGAGGUGUUGCUCUCGCAUUGAUAGAGGUGGCUUGAUGUUGUCUCGGGGUGAGAAAAGAAGGAUGGUGUAGUGAAAAAGUUGUAGAGCUGCAGUCACAAGUUUCAUUCUACAGUUUGAGCUAGAGAAAAUUGAUGGAAGAAUUGUUUUUUACCUGUUAAAAAUUCAAGUCAAAAAUAUGUUGAUACAAUCAAGAUUGCACAAGGUGUUGGUUAGUGGUUAGUAGAUAAACAUUGAUUGACAUUGGUACAAGGUGUACUAUAAUAUUAUGUCGAUGGGUGAAGAAUUUUUUGUCAUCAUGGAAGUUGCACCAUAAUUUACCAACUUGAUUUUCGACAUUUGAAAUUCUUUAAGUGGUUUAACUCCAAGUGAAAUAUAUUAUUUUUGGUAGAGUAUUAUAGUUUU